rnacentral:rRNA from 1 species
GUUGAACGCUAGCUAGAGGCUUAACACAUGCAAGUCGAGGGACCGGCGCACGGGUGAGUAACGCGUAUCCAACCUACCUAUAACUAAGUGAUAACCCAGCGAAAGUUGGACUAAUACCUUAUGGUUAUGGAUGGGGUGGGGUCUGAUUAGCUUGUUGGCGGGGUAACGGCCCACCAAGGCAACGAUCAGUAGGGGUUCUGAGAGGAAGGUCCACCACAUUGGAACUGAGACACGGUCCAAACUCCUACGGGGGGCAGCAGUGAGGAGUAUUGGUCACUGGACGCUAGUGUGACCCUGCCGAGUAUCGGGCAGGAUGACGGCCUUUGGAUGGUAAACUGCUUUUGUAUGGGGAUAGUUACCAGAAGAAUAAGGACCGGCUAAUUCCGUGCCAGCAGCCGCGGUAAUAC